GGCCCAUCUCAACUAACAUGAGUUACAGUGGCAAGGAAAAACUUCCUUUUAACAGGCAGAAACCUUGGGCAGGACCAGCCUCAUGCUAGACAGCCACCAUGCCGCUGCUGGGUUGGGGAGGAAUGUAGAGAGAAGAGGGGAGAGGGGGAGAGGACAGGAGGAGGGAGAGAGACAACAAGAUGGGGGAAAGGCGAGAGAGAAUGAGUAUGGAGAGGGAGGGGGAGGGAGAGAGAGUAGGGAACGAGGGUGAGAGAGAGACAGGAGGCAGCAGGAACAACAGCAACAACAACAACAGCUCAUGUAAUGGUGAAACAAAAAGAAGUUCAGUUUACAGGUUUAGGAUAUGAGUGAUAAUGGACAAUGUUGAAUUAAUUGAGUGCGAUUACAGUUAGCAGGCUUAAUCGUAGUCAGUUCUAUUUUGUAUUAUUAAUGUCAAUAAUGACAGUGAGGCUGAUGUCCAUGUCUGCAGUAACACUAACAGUCCAGAGGAAUCAGAGAGAAGAAGGAGCUCAGGGCCGGGGGGGGGUCUGCGGCAACGGUCCAGAGGAGCCAAAGAGCCAAAGAGUUGGAGGAGCUCAGGGCCCAGGGUGGAUGCAGCUGGGGUCAGGCAGUUCCGCAGCAGACCUGUUUGCAGCAUUAGUCCAGUGGCAGCUAAAAGACUCAGAGACACUCAGAGAGACAGAAAACUGGUCAGUGACUUAUAUGGGACAUAAAGAUCUAAAGAGGAGAUAGAGACAGACUCUAGCUCAGUGUGCCAGAUAGCCCCGGCAGUCUAGGCCUGUAGCAGCAUAACUAAGAGCUGGUUCAAAUCAGCCCUGACUAUAGGCUUUAUCAAAGAGGAACGUUUUAAGUCUACUCUUGAAAGUUGAGAGUGUGUCUGCCCCCCGAACCUCGAGCGGUAAAUGAUUCCAGAGGAGAGGUGCCUGGUAGCUGAAAGCUCUUCCUCCAAUACUACUUUUAGAGACAUUUGGUACAACGAGCAGACCUGCAGACUGUGAGCGUAACGGUCUAGAUGGAAAGUACGGUAUAACUAGCUCGUUGAGAUAUGAUGGCGCCUGGCCAUUAAGCGCUUUAUAUGUCACAAGGAGGAUUUUAAACUCAAUUCUAUAUUUAAUAGGGAGCCAGUGAAGAGAGGCUAAAACAGGAGAGAUGUGCUCCCUCCUUCUAGUUCUAGUCAAUACCCGAGCUGCUGCAUUUUGGACCAGCUGAAGAGUCCUUAAUGACUUACUAGAGCAGCCUGAUAGGAGAGAAUUACAGUAAUCCAGCCUAGAGGUAACAAAGGCAUGGACUAG